UACAGAGGGUGCAAACGUUGUUCGGAAUUACUGGGCGUAAAGCGAGUGUAGGCGGUUUGGUAAGUCGGAUGUGAAAGCCCCGGGCUCAACCCGGGAAGUGCACUCGAUACUGCCAAGCUAGAGUAUCGGAGAGGUUGGUGGAAUUCUCGGUGUAGCAGUGAAAUGCGUAGAUAUCAAGAGGAACACCAGUGGCGAAGGCGGGUCUCUGGGCAUUCCCUGACGCUGAGGCGCGAAAGCGUGGGGAGCAAACGGG
rnacentral:rRNA from 1 species